rnacentral:rRNA from 1 species
CUUGACUAGCUGAGAGGAGGUGCAUGGCCGUCGUCAGUUCGUACUGUGAAGCAUCCUGUUAAGUCAGGCAACGAGCGAGACCCACGCCAACAGUUGCCAGCUCGUCCUCCGGGAUGGUGGGGACACUGUUGGGACCGCCUCUGCUAAAGAGGAGGAAGGAAUGGGCAACGGUAGGUCAGCAUGCCCCGAAUUAUCUGGGCUACACGCGGGCUACAAUGGGUGGGACAAUGGGUAUCGACACCGAAAGGUGAAGGCAAUCUCCUAAACCCAUCCGUAGUUCGGAUUGUGGGCUGCAACUCGCCCACAUGAAGCUGGAAUCUGUAGUAAUCGUGUCUCAAAAUGGCACGGUGAAUAUGUCCCUGCUCCUU